UAGCAUAUCAAUAAGCGGAGGAAAAGAAACCAACAGGGAUUGCCCCAGUAACGGCGAGUGAAGCGGCAACAGCUCAAAUUUGAAAUCUGGCCCCAGGCCCGAGUUGUAAUUUGCAGAGGAUGCUUUUGGCGCGGUGCCUUCCGAGUUCCCUGGAACGGGACGCCAUAGAGGGUGAGAGCCCCGUACGGUUGGACACCAAGCCUUUGUAAAGCUCCUUCGACGAGUCGAGUAGUUUGGGAAUGCUGCUCUAAAUGGGAGGUAUAUUUCUUCUAAAGCUAAAUAUAGGCCAGAGACCGAUAGCGCACAAGUAGAGUGAUCGAAAGAUGAAAAGCACUUUGAAAAGAGGGUUAAACAGCACGUGAAAUUGUUGAAAGGGAAGCGCUUGUGACCAGACUUGCGUCCGGUGAAUCACCCAGCUCUCGCGGCUGGGGCACUUUGCCGGCACAGGCCAGCAUCAGCUCGCUGUCGGGGACAAAAGCUUCGGGAACGUAGCUCUCUUCGGGGAGUGUUAUAGCCCGUUGCAUAAUACCCUUCGGUGGGCUGAGGUACGCGCUCCGCAAGGAUGCUGGCGUAAUGGUCAUCAGCGACCCGUCUUGAAACACGGACCAAGGAGUCAACCUUAUGUGCGAGUGUUUGGGUGUUAAACCCCUACGCGUAAUGAAAGUGAACGCAGGUGAGAGCUUCGGCGCAUCAUCGACCGAUCCUGAUGUUCUCGGACGGAUUUGAGUAAGAGCAUAUAGGGUUGGACCCGAAAGAAGGUGAACUAUGCGUGUAUAGGGUGAAGCCAGAGGAAACUCUGGUGGAGGCUCGCAGCGGUUCUGACGUGCAAAUCGAUCGUCAAAUAUGCGCAUGGGGGCGAAAGACUAAUCGAACCUUCUAGUAGCUGGUUUCCGCCAA
rnacentral:rRNA from 1 species